GGCAAGGUGGCCGAGCGGUUAAGGCGUGUGACUCAAGUGUUCUGGUUAAUUCUAGGAACUUUGCUCCGAUAGGGGUUUCUCAUCACGGUAUCGUGGCGUGGGUUCAAGUCCCACCCUUGUCA